rnacentral:lncRNA from 1 species
ACUUAAUUCUUCAGCAACUGGCAGGUGAAAGGCAACAUGAAGAAUUAAAUCCAAUUACAAAACUCCAGAAACCAACUCUACUAUUUCUGGUUAAACCAACUCUCAUGUUCAGCCAUAAGUCCUCUCAGCUUUGUCUCUUUAAAGGUGAGGCAACGCCUCUUUCUGUUGAAAGCUCUGCUGGCAAAAGGAGUUUGACUUGGUCAAGGAGAAAGGAAGAUUCUCUGAUCUCAUUGGUUUUGGCUACUUCUUCCAAGGAAACCACUUCUACCCAUUCAGAAUGAUUUUUUCUCUGUAAAAAUGGCUGAAGAUGCUGUCACAGAGCUGACCAGAAAUUGAAUUGUGGUGGGGUUAGAGGAUCAAGUUUGUUCUAAUUAUGAAGAGGAGAACCAGCAGAACUGAGGAAAACUUCCGGGGUCAGAAAAUUGCCAUGUAGAUGCUGUGGAGGGCUGUAGUCAGAGUACUGAGUGCAAGAGACUACUUAAACUUUGUUCUGUUUUCUCUAGUUCCUGGAGAGAUGUUGAAAGCUUCUUCUGCCUGUGCUGGAAGAAGAGAAAGGGAAUACAUGAUUUGAAAAAUGGUUGCUGAGAAUGUUUCCAUUUUUUCCAGUUAGUGUAAAUAGCAUGAAUUCUGGAGUUAGAGCAACAUGGAUUCCAAUUUUGUCUCUGACAAGUUAUAAUAUGUGUGAUUUUGGGCAAACCACUUAAUCUUCACACCCUCAGUUUCUUCAACGGGAAAAUUAGGCAGUAAGACUAAAUGACUUCUGAGG